GCAUAUCAAUAAGCGGAGGAAAAGAAACCAACAGGGAUUGCUCUAGUAACGGCGAGUGAAGCAGCAAUAGCUCAAAUUUGAAAUCUGGCGCCUUCGGCGUCCGAGUUGUAAUUUGUAGAGGAUGCUUCUGGGCAGCCACCGACCUAAGUUCCUUGGAACAGGACGUCAUAGAGGGUGAGAAUCCCGUAUGCGGUCGGAAAGGCACCCUACACGUAGCUCCUUCGACGAGUCGAGUUGUUUGGGAAUGCAGCUCUAAAUGGGAGGUAAAUUUCUUCUAAAGCUAAAUAUUGGCCAGAGACCGAUAGCGCACAAGUAGAGUGAUCGAAAGAUGAAAAGCACUUUGGAAAGAGAGUUAAAAAGCACGUGAAAUUGUUGAAAGGGAAGGGAUUGCAACCAGACUUGCUCGCGGUGUUCCGCCGGUCUUCUGACCGGUCUACUCGCCGCGUUGCAGGCCAGCAUCGUCUGGUGCCGCUGGAUAAGACUUGAGGAAUGUAGCUCCCUCGGGAGUGUUAUAGCCUCUUGUGAUGCAGCGAGCGCCGGGCGAGGUCCGCGCUUCGGCUAGGAUGCUGGCGUAAUGGUUGUAAUCCGCCCGUCUUGAAACACGGACCAAGGAGUCUAACAUCUAUGCGAGUGUUCGGGUGUCAAACCCCUACGCGUAAUGAAAGUGAACGGAGGUGAGAACCGCAAGGUGCAUCAUCGACCGAUCCUGAUGUCUUCGGAUGGAUUUGAGUAUGAGCAUAGCUGUUGGGACCCGAAAGAUGGUGAACUAUGCCUGAAUAGGGUGAAGCCAGAGGAAACUCUGGUGGAGGCUCGCAGCGGUUCUGACGUGCAAAUCGAUCGUCAAAUUUGGGUAUAGGGGCGAAAGACUAAUCGAACCAUCUAGUAGCUGGUUCCUGCCGAAGU
rnacentral:rRNA from 1 species